UACCAGCACCCCGAGUGGUCGGGACGUUUAUUGGGCCUGAAGCAUCCGUAGCCGGUUCUACAAGUCUUCCGUUAAAUCCACCUGCUUAACAGAUGGGCUGCGGAAGAUACUAUAGAGCUAGGAGGCGGGAGAGGCAAGCGGUACUCGAUGGGUAGGGGUAAAAUCCGUUGAUCCAUUGAAGACCACCAGUGGCGAAGGCGGCUUGCCAGAACGCGCUCGACGGUGAGGGAUGAAAGCUGGGGGAGCAAACCGG
rnacentral:rRNA from 1 species